rnacentral:rRNA from 1 species
UACGUAGGGUGCGAGCGUUAAUCGGAAUUACUGGGCGUAAAGCGUGCGCAGGCGGUUCGUCGUGUCCGAUGUGAAAGCCCCGGGCUCAACCUGGGAAUGGCAUUGGAAACUGGCUGGCUAGAGUGUGGCAGAGGGGGGUGGAAUUCCGCGUGUAGCAGUGAAAUGCGUAGAGAUGCGGAGGAACACCGAUGGCGAAGGCAGCCCCCUGGGCUAGCACUGACGCUCAGGCACGAAAGCGUGGGGAGCAAACAGGG